rnacentral:rRNA from 1 species
GGCCUCACAUGCAAGUCGAGCGGUAACAUGGUUAGUAGCAAUACUAACUGAUGACGAGCGGCGGACGGGUGAGGAACACGUAGGAACUUGUCCUUUAGAGGGGGAUAACCAAGGGAAACUUUGGCUAAUACCGCAUAAACUCGAGAGAGGAAAGCUGCCUGUAAAGGUGGCACUAGAGGAGAGGCCUGCGUCCGAUUAGCUAGUUGGUAGGGUAAAAGCCUACCAAGGCGAUGAUCGGUAACUGGUCUGAGAGGACGACCAGUCACACUGGGACUGAGACACGGCCCAGACUCCUACGGGAGGCAGCAGUGGGGAAUAUUGGACAAUGGGGGCAACCCUGAUCCAGCGAUGCCGCGUGAGUGAAGAAGGCCUUCGGGUCGUAAAGCUCUUUAGGUUGGGAAGAAGUGUAUGCGGUGAAUAGCCGUGUAUGUUGACGGUACCGACAGAAUA